UGCAGAUGAUGUCAAAGAAUAUUUGCUAUCAGAAAGAUGGUGAUGACGCUUAGCCACCAAGAUCGCUGAUGCA
rnacentral:snoRNA from 1 species